rnacentral:tRNA from 1 species
GGCGUUAUAGCAUAAUUGGUAUUGCAGUAGUUUGCAAAACUUCUUAGUAUAGGUUCAACCCNUAUUAACGCAU